rnacentral:rRNA from 1 species
CCCUUAGAUGUUCUGGGCCGCACGCGCGCUACACUGACGAAUGCAACGAACUUAUAACCUUGGCCGAAAGGUCUGGGUAAUCUCCAAAUUUCGUCGUGAUGGGGAUAGGUUAUUGCAAUUAUUAAUCUUCAACGAGGAAUGCCUAGUAAGCGCAAGUCAUCAGCUUGCGUUGAUUACGUCCCUGCCCUUUGUACACACCGCCCGUCGCUGCCCGGAACUGAGCCGUUUCGAGAAGACUGAGGAUUGCUGACUUGAGGCUCUCGCGGGCUUCUAGUCGGUGAAAAUCAAUUUAAUCGCAGCGGCUUGAACCGGGCAAAAGUCGUAACA